AGCAACCCUGAAGCUACAUCAGAAGCCAGAAAGAAUACAGUACUUGGUACUCAUUUAGAAAUAUAUGAUGAAGGAGAGCGAGGUGUAUGUGGUAACUCAAUACUAUUAGAACUUUUGAUGCAAAAGUCUUCAAGAAUGGUCAACAGAAAAUAUUGACAACACAUGUGCUGACUACAUUCUACCAAGAGGAAAAGAAGAACUUCUUGCAGAGAAGGAGAAAGGAUGCUGGAAGUCUACUCCAGCACUUACUAAUAGAGUGUAACAAAUUAUGGGGUUUUAGAAAUUCAAUUUAGCUCUCAACAUGCGCCGUUUCACCACCUGCGUACACAAGAGUCACACCCACACGAGUUCCCUCUGCCAGCUCCAUCUCGUCCCUCCUCCUCAUUAGCCAACACCUAAUUACAUACUAAUUGGCUCAGAGAACACAAGCUUGUUAUUGCACUAAAAACACUCAGAGCUCCCCCACAGACAGAUUCUCAUGAAAACCAAAUAUAAAAGGAGUUGGCCUUGUGCCUGGUUUUCAUCAAGACAUAGCUAGAUUCUUCUAGCUCCUUCCUGGCCACAAAGUUAGGCUUCGCUCUUAUGCUUCUGUGAAGUAAUUUUCUUCAGGGACACAUUGAAGUAGUUAGUACCAGCCAAAUGGACCGAACCAGAUUUGAGUGUGUCAUAACCAUAACAAUUUCAUAAAUAAAGGACUUCACAAUGACCUUGAUCAUUAUAUGACUGCUUCGUUAGUCAUAGAGAGCCACAGUUAAUCAGGAACAGUUUCUCAUUAAACUUACUAUUGUUCUCCCCUUGUGAUCUCUAGAUGUCAAUAUUCUCCCACUAUUGCUACCUCAGAUUAGACAAACUGACUUUCUAAACUCAUUUGAGAGCAUGAACAUGCUUUCUCUUUGCUGAACUUUCUCUUCUCCCAACAAAAACAUAGCAAACAGUUUCUAUUAUCACAGCAUAGUUACGUGAGCUGUGAUUAAUGGCAUAGAAGCCAUAGGAGUAUGUUUUGAGAUGCAGGUUUCAAAGCUGUUCGAUUUUUCUCAACCAAGUUCUGGCAUUGUAAUUGCCAGUGAUAGGCAGCCCCACAGAGGAGACAUUGCAAAAUACAGAGGACCACUUGUGCAAACAAGGACCACUUGUGGUACAAUUUAUCUCCCAUAGUCCACUGGUGUGGGAGAGGUGGAGGUAACACUAGAGAGAAGACUGUUGUCAUGCUAGGAAGCAGAAAUCACUGCCAUGGCUAAAAUAAUUAGGAGCAAGGGAAAUAGAAGCCCCAAGCUGUAUCCUUCUAUCCAAAUGAGCCACUGACUGAGGCCAAUUGUACACAUAAAGAAAAUCUGGAACCUUGGAAGAAAUUUAUAUACAGAUUGUAGUUGCUAGCCUUUAAAGGGGCUGAGAUGGGAUUUCCUAUUUGGAAACAUGGGAAUUCUUACAAUGUUAUCCAAUAAAAUUCCAGGAGAAUUCAAACAUCUCUUAUAUGAUGCUGCCAUUAUUCUAUGAACAACUGUAGACAUCGAAAAGCUACUUUGCAAUUCCAUUGUCUUUAAGGAAGUUUUAACUUUUAUAUACUCAUUUAAGUAUUAUAAAAUGGCAGCUGACAAUUAUAUAUGUGUAACUCUAUUUGGUCUUUAAAGAUUCAGAUAUUUUUCAUUUAAAGCUCAUACUUGAAGCCUACAUUCAACAGCCACAGAAGGAAUCCUCAGGUGCUGGGAUGAUGCUGUAGUCCCCCAUUCCUUAAUGUUAAAGUUCCUCAUAUGAGAAAGUUUAACACCUAGUUAAUAAAUACAUAGAGUAAAAUGACGGCAACAGGGGACUAGUGAGUAGAGAGACUGGGGAGAUGCUGGUCAAAGAACAUUUAGUGGGACAGAAGAUACACUACAGAGUUCAUAUUAAAAAAUACACUAGAGCACCCUUAAAAAUUGUUUGGAGAGUAGAUUUUAAAACUUUUCUUAUUGUUACAAAAACAGAUAAUUAUAUGGGAUAAUACAUAUGUUAAUGGCAUUAUUGCCAGACUGUCUCUGACCCACCUGCCACCCAAGUAAUGAAACUGAGACCUUUUAUUAAUUAUGACAGCUUAGCCUUCGCUUAAGCUUGUUCCAACUAGCUCAUAACUUAUGUUAAUCCAUUAUUAGUAUACUAAUUCACAUCCUGCCACAUUGCUUGUUACUUCUCCUCAGUACCGGCACCUGUUUCUUUUUCUCUUUCUGGGGUGGUGAAUCUCUCCUCCUCACCUCCAUGGCUGAUGCACUAAUCUCCCCACCCCCACCCCCAGAAUAUUUUCCAGAGUUACUAACUGUCCAAAAGUCCCGCCUAUCCUUCCCAGGAUUGCUAUAGGCCCUCCAGCUCUUUAUUAAACCAAUCUGAAGGCGUUAAAGGGAGUGUUUACAAGGUAUGAUGCAGCCAUAUAAAAACACUAAGUCCUGUCUGCACUCAACUCUGCUGGCACAGAAUUCAGCAUUUGAAUAAUACAAAGACAAUCUUUGCACAGUGCACCAAAAGACCACCCCAACAUGGUACUAACUUAGACAUU
rnacentral:lncRNA from 1 species